AAAAAAAAUUAACAACACCAACAAGGAUAACAUUGAGUUUGUGAUUCAAGACUUUGCUUUCAAGAGAUUCAAAGCAGACUAGGGGCAGAUUUUUUUUUUGGUAGCAAAAUCAAUUUCAUCAGCUGCGAAGUUUACCAAGACAUGGUUGAACGAGAAAAACUCGAAUUACUCCAAGUGGGAGUUCAGAAUGUCGAGUAAAGAAAUAAAGUAGAAGAGCACGCCGUCGAAGAAUAUAUUUUCGAGGUUUUGAGAUUAUAUAAAAUGAUGUCCCUAGGGCGACACAAAAUUUGUUAAGGAAUGAAAGGGCUAUGC